ACCCGCUGAACUUAAGCAUAUCAAUAAGCGGAGGAAAAGAAACCAACAGGGAUUGCCCUAGUAACGGCGAGUGAAGCGGCAACAGCUCAAAUUUGAAAUCUGGCUCUUUCAGAGUCCGAGUUGUAAUUUGCAGAGGGCGCUUUGGCUUUGGCAGCGGUCCAAGUUCCUUGGAACAGGACGUCACAGAGGGUGAGAAUCCCGUACGUGGUCGCUAGCUAUUGCCGUGUAAAGCCCCUUCGACGAGUCGAGUUGUUUGGGAAUGCAGCUCUAAAUGGGAGGUAAAUUUCUUCUAAAGCUAAAUAUUGGCCAGAGACCGAUAGCGCACAAGUAGAGUGAUCGAAAGAUGAAAAGCACUUUGGAAAGAGAGUCAAACAGCACGUGAAAUUGUUGAAAGGGAAGCGCUUGCAGCCAGACUUGCUUGCAGUUGCUCAUCCGGGCUUUUGCCCGGUGCACUCUUCUGUAGGCAGGCCAGCAUCAGUUUGGGCGGUGGGAUAAAGGUCUCUGUCACGUACCUCUCUUCGGGGAGGCCUUAUAGGGGAGACGACAUACCACCAGCCUAGACUGAGGUCCGCGCAUCUGCUAGGAUGCUGGCGUAAUGGCUGUAAGCGGCCCGUCUUGAAACACGGACCAAGGAG
rnacentral:rRNA from 1 species